UCCCCACCUAAGAACUAAGCUGCUACUGGCCCUGAGCUAGCACCAGAUCUAGAAAAUAAAAAGAUUACACUUUGGUCAGUGACUGCAGCAGAUGGUAAAAUAUGACUCCCCUUCCUUGUAUUUCUAGGUUAUUACUUUCUUGCCUAUGGUGUUAUCGGGACUGAGAACCUCAGACCAUUUUGUGGUCAUAAACCAGAAACUUGGAGAAAGUACCCGGUAUGUUUGCAGGUGGGACUCCUUGUAAAAGACACUUGGUAGCCCAUGGUCUGAAAGGCAGGACAAAGCAAAUCACGUAGCUAAGUCCAGCCACCAUGCUCCAGUACCAUCUCCUUCAGGACACGAAAGGGUAUGAACAGCCAAGUCCUGUAUUGUCGCACAUGCUCCAUGAGGACCUGGGGACCUUCUCAGCCAGAAGGACCAGCUGGAUGGCUGCUUCUUGCUCAAGCGUCCCUCGAGUUUCACUCAUGACUGUCAUUGAAGGGUUUACUGAGUCCCGCAUCACUCAGGGUCCACUGAGAUGUCCCUGCUAUUCAGCUUUAAGGAAGAUCACUUCAAUUCUACUCAUGCUUAUGCCCUGCCCUGUGAAGAUCUGAAGUCCUCCUCAGGUUGUCUGUGAAUUCCUUAAGAGGUUGAAAUUAGAGCCUACUCUUCCCUCCUAGUCCUCUGAAAGUUUGCAGAGAAAUGACAACAUAUAUCAGACAAGUAUAAAUCAGGGGAGAAAAAAAUAAGACCAUGGAUGAAAACUGUGGCUCUGAAGCAGAGUUUAUUUGGCAUCAACACUAGUGUUUACUGGUGACCAUAUGGUUGCAUGAAUAAGAGCUUCAGUAUUAGAUAAAUUUGUGUUUGAGUUUCAGCGUCACAUAAAGAUACUGAUCUUUAUAAGACCUUAGACAAAUUCACACCUAUAAUCCUAUUACUUUGAGAGGCCAAGGCAGGAGGGUUGCUUGAGUUCAGGAGGUUGAGACCAGCCUGUGCAACAUAGCAAGAUCCCAUCUCUACAACAAAAUUUUAAAAAUUAGCCAGGCAUGGUGGCACAUGCCUGUAGUCCCAGCUACUAAGGAGGCUGAGGUGGGAGGAUCUCUUGAGCCUGGAAUAUCAAGGCUGCAGUGAGUUGUGAUUGUGCUACUACACUCUAACCUAGGUGACAGAGCAAGACCAGGUCUCAAAAACAAAAACAAAAAAGAAAUAAAAGAACUGAAGGAGAGAGAAAGGCAGUCACAAGUGGGUCUAAAAAAAAUUGUAGGAGAACACAGAAAGUGAGGGAAAAAGCAAUAUUGAAAUAGAAAUCAAAUCAUAAGUUUUUCAGAACUUAAAAUGACUUCAAUUCUUACAUUAAAAGAGCAUUUCUAGCACUGAAAAGAACAACAAAAUUCUCCUACAUAUACUACAGGGAAGUAACAAAAUAUGAAAAGCAAAGAGAAAACAUCCAUAUCACCUAGAGGAAGGGGAUUUCACAAAAGAAUGACCAUUACACAGAAAAGUCUCCCCAUUAGUUAUAAUAGAUGCCAGAAAACAGUGGAAUGAUUUCUGCAAAGAGCUAAGGAAAAAUAUUUGCCCAUCUAGAUUUCUACACUCAAUUAAAUUCUCAUGAAAAAAACAGGCUGCCAUGGACCAGCAACCUCUUUUUCCAGGACCCCUCUCUGUAGCAGAGAACUAUUUUCUUUCUUUUGCUGAUUAAAUUUCCACUGUUAACCUCAUUCAUUGUGUGUCCGCAUCCUUGAUCCCCGUGGCUGUGAGACAACAAACCUCAGGUAUUACCCCAGACAAUGAGACCACUUCAACAAGAGACUGGUAAAAAAGAGACAAUCAAGGAAUGAGACAAUUGUUGAUGACGUAUGCUAAUUAAAUAAAUAACACUUUAUCAUAUCCACUUUAUAAAUGAGAACAGCAUUGUGAUUACUCCCAGGGACUCUGUUCUAUCUUCAGUGGCUGUCUGAUUUUAUCCUCACAAUUUAAAUGGAAGGAAUUUUGAAAAAAAAAAAAAAAACUUUGGGGGUUAAGAUUUCAACAUGUGAAUUUAGAGGGGGACAAAAAUAUUCAAUCUAUAGCAGGGUCUAAAAGCACAAUUGCCCACUUAAUCUCUAAUUGAUAGAGUAAUAUUAAUAUUUGAUAUACAGUUUACUUGUUAAAUGCAGUUCCAAGCACUUCACAUUUUUGGAUUAUGGCACUCUUUAAUCUCUCAUUAAAAAUAAAAGCACAUCUCUUUUGAACUCUAAUAACCCUCCAGAUGCUGCUCCAUUU
rnacentral:lncRNA from 1 species